UACAGAGGGGGCAAGCGUUAUUCGGAAUUAUUGGGCGUAAAGGGCGCGUAGGCGGCCUGGCAAGUGGAUGGUGAAAUCCCUCGGCUUAACCGAGGAACUGCCGUCCAAACUGCUUGGCUUGAGACCGGGAGAGGUGAGUGGAAUUCCCAGUGUAGCGGUGAAAUGCGUAGAUAUCUGGAGGAACACCGGUGGCGAAGGCGGCAUCCUGGACCAUUACUGACACUGAAAAGCGAAAGCCAGGGGAGCAAACGGG
rnacentral:rRNA from 1 species